rnacentral:lncRNA from 1 species
CGAGGUCAAAAUGAUCAGCAGGACGACGACGACAGACAAACUGAAGGUUGACGCAACGACGCAGUGCGCAGUCUCCAUGACGACCAAGGCCACCAUGGCGAGCCUGUCAAAGAGCACGAACACGCGCACGGUGUGCUUGCAAACGGGACGCAUCACGGAGGAAGUGGGGUGUUUCUGUUUUCCACACCUUCUAGGGCCAGCAAAGGCUGAUGCGUCAACGCAGUGCGCGGUGCGAAUGACGCUGAAGGCCACUCAAGUAUCAGUCAACCCACGGGGCUCGAGGACGGUGGCCGUGCAGACCAUGACCAGCAUGGCAACGGAACCAUCUAGUGGGUGUGCAUCGACGCACUGUGGUGUGAUGUAUUUUUGCUGAUUGUAAAUAUUCGCGCACAUUGAAAUAAAGGACUUAUGACUUUACCAAAGACUCCCUUUUGCAAGGAGU